UGGGGAAUAUUGCACAAUGGGCGCAAGCCUGAUGCAGCCAUGCCGCGUGUAUGAAGAAGCCCUUCGGGUUGUAAAGUACUUUCAGCGGGGAGGAAGGGAGUAAAGUUAAUACCUUUGCUCAUUGACGUUACCCGCAGAAGAAGCACCGGCUAACUCCGUGCCAGCAGCCGCGGUAAUACGGAGGGUGCAAGCGUUAAUCGGAAUUACUGGGCGUAAAGCGCACGCAGGCGGUUUGUUAAGUCAGAUGUGAAAUCCCCGGGCUCAACCUGGGAACUGCAUCUGAUACUGGCAAGCUUGAGUCUCGUAGAGGGGGGUAGAAUUCCAGGUGUAGCGGUGAAAUGCGUAGAGAUCUGGAGGAAUACCGGUGGCGAAGGCGGCCCCCUGGACGAAGACUGACGCUCAGGUGCGAAAGCGUGGGGAGCAAACAGG
rnacentral:rRNA from 1 species